rnacentral:rRNA from 1 species
CCUACGGGUGGCAGCAGUGGGGAAUAUUGGGCAAUGGGCGCAAGCCUGACCCAGCAACGCCGCGUGAAGGAAGAAGGCUUUCGGGUUGUAAACUUCUUUUAUCAGGGACGAAGCAAGUGACGGUACCUGAUGAAUAAGCCACGGCUAACUACGUGCCAGCAGCCGCGGCAAUACGUAGGCGGCAAGCGUUAUCCGGAUUUACUGGGUGUAAAGGGCGUGUAGGCGGGAGUGCAAGUCAGAUGUGAAAACUAUGGGCUCAACCCAUAGCCUGCCUUUGAAACUGUACUUGUUGAGUGCUGGUGAGGCAAUCGGAAUUCCGUGUGUAGCGGUGAAAUGCGUAGAGAUACGGAGGAACACCAGUGGCGAAGGCGGAUUGCUAGACAGUAACUGACGCUGAGGCGCGAAAGCGUGGGGAGCAAACAGGAUUAGAUACCCCUGUAGUC